UACGUAGGCAGCAAGCGUUGUUCGGAGUUACUGGGCGUAAAGGGUGCGUAGGCGGCUGUUUAAGUUUGGUGUGAAAUCUCCCGGCUCAACCGGGAGGGUGCGCCGAAUACUGAGUGGCUAGAGUGCGGGAGAGGAAAGUGGAAUUCCUGGUGUAGCGGUGAAAUGCGUAGAUAUCAGGAGGAACACCGGUGGUGUAAACGGCUUUCUGGACCGUAACUGACGCUGAGGCACGAAGGCCAGGGGAGCAAACGGG
rnacentral:rRNA from 1 species